rnacentral:rRNA from 1 species
UACGAAGGGGGCUAGCGUUGCUCGGAAUCACUGGGCGUAAAGCGCACGUAGGCGGCUUUUUAAGUCAGGGGUGAAAUCCUGGAGCUCAACUCCAGAACUGCCUUUGAUACUGAGAAGCUUGAGUCCGGGAGAGGUGAGUGGAACUGCGAGUGUAGAGGUGAAAUUCGUAGAUAUUCGCAAGAACACCAGUGGCGAAGGCGGCUCACUGGCCCGGUAAUGACGCGGAGGUGCGAAAGCGUGGGGAGCAAACAGG